rnacentral:lncRNA from 11 species
CAGUGCUGUUGAAUUUGGGAUUACUUGCUAGUACAAUGUUACUGUCACAUUUUUCUUGAAAAAUGAGUAAUUACAGCUGGCUCAGGUUAACGGAUAUUUUGUGGUUGCAUUGUUAAGCUGCACUCCUGUAUUAUUAUUAUGGCAUGUUAAACAAGGGUAAGUUACCUUGCGUUACCUUCUCUAAGUAAAGAAAUCUACCGUUUAUAUUUCCCAUCUCCCUGCUUUCGCUUUCGGGUCAUUUUCUGGGUGGAUGUAUUUAUAUUGUGGUUGGUUUCACCUGUGUUUGCUUUCCAUCCUUUAGGUCCUGAACAAAAAUGUUCAUCACUGUGCUUCAUGGUGAACACAAGGCAGAUAUUUUUAACAUUCAUUGCAAAGUCCAGAUUCUCCUAGAUGGCAUUAAACAUCGCUGUGGCUGUGAGGAUGAAGAAGAAAUAGACUUAGCAGACGAGAGUGGCCAAGUAAAGAAUUUACUCCAAAACAAGCACCGCUCUGCAAUUGAGCUUCUUGAAGAACGAGAGACUUAUGUACUCCUUGGUAUUACAAUCAAUAGUGAAAGACCUUCAGAAGGCAGGAUUUAUCCCUCUGCUGAAAGAUGAAAUCAUCAUUAACUCCAGGUUCCUAGGUAGGUAGGAAUUUGG